CACAGUGUAACAUCGAAGAGAAAAACUUAGGAGGAAUCAUAAAAUAAUAAAAAAAAUGAGCGCGAAUGCAUGAAAAGCAACCGGCUCACAUUGUUUACGAGAAAAUUUAUUUGAAAAUGCUUAAUUUAAAAUCCUUCACCGGUGUUGGUGCGUUUAUGUUGACGUCUUCGAUCUACCUUCGAAAUCGGGACCGGCGAAACGGGCAGCUCCUCUCCCGACCGGAGGCGACCGUAUAUCGCAGCCAUUGCGAUGCGACGAAUGCACGGUGCCAAGUGAACCACUUUUGGUAAGCAGAACUGAUGUGGAAUGAACCCAACGUCCGGCUAAGGUACCUUACGCUUCGUCCAUUAGAUCGUCGAAAAGGUGUCGGGCCAUACAAACAACAGGACGGUGGCCACGAAAGUCAGAGUCCGCUCAGGAGUGUCUAAGAACUUAUCUACCGAAUCGACCGGCCCCGAAAAUGGAUGGCACUGGAGCAAGCGACCGAUGCCGGACCGGCCGGGCAACAGGUUGCGCGUUCGCUGGUGAGGCGACUUUCCGAUUUCCAGUCGAGGAGGAGGG
rnacentral:ncRNA from 1 species